GUGAAUCAUCGAAUCUUUGAACGCACAUUGCGCCCCUUGGUAUUCCGAAGGGCAUGCCUGUUCGAGCGUCAUUAUCACCCCUCAAGCCUCGUUGCUUGGUGUUGGACGGCCUGGUCGAGGUGACUCGACCCCUCCUAAAGACAAUGACGGCGGCCUGUGGUUCCCCCGGUACACUGAGCUUUUAACUGAGCACGUAUUGGAUAAGGGCACCCGGGACCCGGUCCUCUCCUUUCACUAGGAAACUUUUUUCAAGGUUGACCUCGGAUCAGGUAGGAAUACGCGCUGAACUUAAGCAUAUCA
rnacentral:misc_RNA from 1 species